UUCAUCCAAUGAUGUCUAUUAUCCUACAUUGUUUGAUUUGUGUAAUGAUAACAUAUUAUUAAUUUCUGAGGAUGAU
rnacentral:snoRNA from 1 species